rfam:Myotis davidii contig93398, whole genome shotgun sequence.
GUGCUGGCUUUGACAGCACAUAUACUGAAACUGGAACAGUGCAGAGGAGAUUAGCAUGGCCCUCUGUGAGGAUGACAUGCCGAUUCCUGAAGCAUCCCAUGUUUUU